AUGUACAAUGUCAUUCACAUAGAUGAGAAGUGGUUCUAUCGCACCAAGAAAACACUCAAGCUUUACUUGGCAGAAGGUGAGGAGGAGCCGGAAUAUUUUACACAAAACAAGAACUAUAUAGAGAGGGUUAUGUUUCUCGCAGCUGUAGCGCGUCCUCGGUUUGAUGUGGAUGACACCAUGACAUUUGAUGGAAAAAUUGGAAUAUGGCCCUUCACUUUUGAGGAGCCGGCUAAGAGGGAUAGUCAAAACCGUCUAGCUGGGACAAUCGUGACGAAGGUUAUCCCCAAGGUGACAGGGGAUGUUAGUAGAGACUUUUUGGUGAACAAGGUUCUCCCGGCCAUCAAGGCUAAGUGGCCUCCAUCUGAACGUGGGCGCCCUAUAUUCAUCCAGCAGGAUAAUGCAAGAACUUACGUGAAUGUUGAUGAUCCAGUUUUCCUUGCUGCAGCACGGGCAGACGGGUUUGACAUUGUAAGUGCAUCUAGUGCCACCCCUAGUUGGUUUUGGAGUAUUGACGCCAAACCUAGUUGA
rnacentral:rRNA from 1 species